rnacentral:rRNA from 1 species
UACAGAGGGUGCUAGCGUUGUUCGGAAUCAUUGGGCGUAAAGGGCGUGUAGGCGGUUUGUUAAGUCAUGUGUGAAAUCCCUCGGCUCAACCGGGGAACGACGCAUGAAACUGGCAAGCUAGAGUACCAAAGAGGGGGGUGGAAUUCCGCGUGUAGCAGUGAAAUGCGUAGAGAUGCGGAGGAACACCGAUGGCGAAGGCAGCCCCCUGGGCUGACACUGACGCUCAGGCACGAAAGCGUGGGGAGCAAACAGG